rnacentral:ncRNA from 1 species
UUAUCUGCAGAAAUAACUUCUUGUACUUUUACCGUACUGAUGAAGUGUUGUCGCUAUGGCAAUCCUGCUCAGUACGAGAAGAACCGCAGGUUCAGACAUUUGGUUUAGGCGCUCGGCUGAUGAGCCGGUGGUGCGAGGCUACCAUCUGAGGGAUUAUGACUGAACGCCUCUAAGUCAGAAUCCCGCCCAGAAAGCAACGAUAUGCGUGGUGUCUCCUUCGGAGAGCCAUUUGCGGCGACCAUCCGACUACACCGUCGGACUCCGCGCUCGAUCCGCAGAGCAAUCUCCUCCGGGUCCGAGGCGCUGAAUCCUCUGUAGACGACUUUGAUUCAGCUCGGGUUGUCGUUUGGGGUGUCGUACCUAGUAGAGCAGCCGCUUCGCUGCGAUCUAUUGAAAGUCAUGCCCGCGAGCUAAGAUUC